AUGCGGCGGCGGGGGUGGCAGGUCCUGGGUCGCUCCGCUGGACUAGUUCGCAGAGGGUCGUUGUCACCCGGGGUAAGCGGCAGGCGCGGCGACACCUGGGAGACGCGGUGGGUCGCGGGUCGCCCCACAGGACGAGCCCUUCGUGGGUCGCUGUCACUCGGGUUAAGCAGCAGGUGCGGGGACGCCCGGGGGAUGCAGUGGGUCCCGGGUCGUCCCGCAGGACGAACACCCGGGGGCCACUGUCACCUGGGGAACGGGGCAGGCGCGGCGACACCCAGAGACGCGGCGGGUCCUGGGUUGCCUGCUGGACGCGUCCGCCAGGGGUCGCUGUCACGGGGGGGAUGGCGGGUCCCAGGUCCCUCCGCUGGACGAGUUCGCAGAGGGUCGCUGUCACCCGGGGUAAGCGGUAGGCGCGGCGACACCCGGGAGACGCGGUGGGUCCCAGGUCACCCCGCAGGACGAACACCCGGGGUCGCUGUCACCCGGGGAACGGGGCAGGCGCGGCGACACCCAGACACGCGGUGGUUCCUGGGUUGCCUGCAGGACGAGUCCGCCAGGGGUCGCUGUCACCCGGGGGACGCGGCGGCGGGGAUGGCGGGUCCCAGGUCACUCCGCUGGACGAGUUCGCAGAGGUUCGUUGUCACCCGGGGUAAGCGGCAGGCGCGGAGACACCCGGGAGACGCGGUAGGUUCCGGGUCGCCCCGCAGGACGAGCCCUUCGUGGGUCGCUGUCACUCGGGGUAAGCGGCAGGCGCGGCGACACCCAGAGACGUGGCGUGUCCCGAGUCGCCUGCAGGACGAGUCCGCCAGGGGUCGCUGUCACCCGAGGAACGCGGCGGCGGGGGUGGCGGGUCCCGGGUCGCUCCGCAGGACUAGCCCUUCGGUGAUUGCUGUCACUCGGGGUAAGCGGCAGGCGCGCCCGGUUCUGGGGUCGCCCCGCAGUAUGUGUCCGCCGAAGGUCGCUGUUACCUGGAGAACGGGGCGGCGGCUCCCGGGUCGCCCCGCAGGACGAGUCCGCCGAAGGUCGCUGUCACUCGGGGUAAGAGGCAGGCGCGGCGACACCCAGAGACGCGGCGGGUCCCGGGUCGCCCCGCAGGACGAGUCCGCGAGGGUCGCUGUCAUCCGGGGGACACGGCGGCAGGGAAGCGGGUCCCGGGUCGCCCCGCAGGAUGAGCCCACCGAGGGUCGCUGUCACCGGGGAGGGGGGGGACGCGGUGGGUCCCGGGUCGCCCCGCGGGACGAGCCCCCGGGGUCGCUGUCACCCGGGGAACGGGGCAGGCGCGGCGACACCCAGAGACGCGGCGGGUCCUGGGUUGCCUGCAGGACGAGUCCGCCAGGGGUCGCUGUCACGGGGGGGAUGGCGGGUCCCAGGUCCCUCCGCUGGACGAGUUCGCAGAGGGUCGCUGUCACCCGGGGUAAGCGGUAG
rnacentral:lncRNA from 1 species